rnacentral:rRNA from 1 species
GACGGGUGAGUAACACGUGGGUAACCUGCCCAAGUGACUGGGAUAACACCUGGAAACAGAUGCUAAUACCGGAUAACAACACUAGACGCAUGUCUAGAGUUUAAAAGAUGGUUCUGCUAUCACUCUUGGAUGGACCUGCGGUGCAUUAGCUAGUUGGUAAGGUAACGGCUUACCAAGGCAAUGAUGCAUAGCCGAGUUGAGAGACUGAUCGGCCACAUUGGGACUGAGACACGGCCCAAACUCCUACGGGAGGCAGCAGUAGGGAAUCUUCCACAAUGGACGCAAGUCUGAUGGAGCAACGCCGCGUGAGUGAAGAAGGGUUUCGGCUCGUAAAGCUCUGUUGGUAGUGAAGAAAGAUAGAGGUAGUAACUGGCCUUUAUUUGACGGUAAUUACCUAGAAAGUCACGGCUAACUACGUGCCAGCAGCCGCGGUAAUACGUAGGUGGCAAGCGUUGUCCGGAUUUAUUGGGCGUAAAGCGAGUGCAGGCGGUUCAAUAAGUCUGAUGUGAAAGCCUUCGGCUCAACCGGAGAAUUGCAUCAGAAACUGUUGAACUUGAGUGCAGAAGAGGAGAGUGGAACUCCAUGUGUAGCGGUG